rnacentral:rRNA from 1 species
GACGAACGCUGGCGGCGUGCUUAAUACAUGCAAGUCGAGCGAGUCAGCCUUAACUUGCGGAGCGGUCGUACUCGGUGAAAGGAGAUACAGGCUAGCGGUAAACGACCGAGAAACACGGGGGAACCCUGGCAAAGAGGUCGGAAUAACGCCUGGAAACAGAUACCAAUAGCGGCUAACAUGAAAUGAGGCCUUGCAGGUGUUUAAAAGAGGGUCCUACUCUCACUCGUGGGUGGAUCAGCGGAGCACUAGCUAGUUGGAAGGGUAACGGCCUACCAAGGCGAGGAUGCGUAGCCGACCUGAGAGACUGAUCGGCCACAUUGGGACUGAGACACGGCCCAGACUCCUACGGGAGGCAGCAGUAGGGAAUCUUCCACAAUGGACGCAAGUCUGACGGAGCAACGCCGCGUGAGUGAUGAAGGGUUUCGGCUCGUAAAGCUCUGUUGUUGGUGAAGAACGACUGUGGCAGUAACUGAACAUUUCUUGACGGUACCUAAUCAGAAAGCCACGGCUAACUACGUG